GAUGAACGCUAGCUACAGGCUUAACACAUGCAAGUCGAGGGGAAACGACAUCGAAAGCUUGCUUUUGAUGGGCGUCGACCGGCGCACGGGUGAGUAACGCGUAUCCAACCUGCCCACCACUUGGGGAUAACCUUGCGAAAGUAAGACUAAUACCCAAUGAUAUCCCACGAAGACAUCUGAAUGGGAUUAAAGAUUUAUCGGUGAUGGAUGGGGAUGCGUCUGAUUAGCUUGUUGGCGGGGUAACGGCCCACCAAGGCAACGAUCAGUAGGGGUUCUGAGAGGAAGGUCCCCCACAUUGGAACUGAGACACGGUCCAAACUCCUACGGGAGGCAGCAGUGAGGAAUAGUGGUCAAUGGGCGAGAGCCUGAACCAGCCAAGUAGCGUGCAGGAAGACGGCCCUAUGGGUUGUAAACUGCUUUUAUAAGGGAAUAAAGUGGGUCACGUGUGACUUUUUGCAUGUACCUGAUGAAUAAGGACCGGCUAAUUCCGUG
rnacentral:rRNA from 1 species